AGUGAACGCUGGCGGCAGGCCUAACACAUGCAAGUCGAGCGGCAGCGGGUCCUUCGGGAUGCCGGCGAGCGGCGGACGGGUGAGGAAUGCAUCGGAAUCUGCCCUGUCGUGGGGGAUAACCUAGGGAAACUUAGGCUAAUACCGCAUACGACCCACGGGUGAAAGCGGGGGAUCGCAAGACCUCGCGCGAUAGGAUAAGCCGAUGUCCGAUUAGCUAGUUGGCGGGGUAAAGGCCCACCAAGGCGACGAUCGGUAGCUGGUCUGAGAGGAUGAUCAGCCACACUGGGACUGAGACACGGCCCAGACUCCUACGGGAGGCAGCAGUGGGGAAUAUUGGACAAUGGGCGCAAGCCUGAUCCAGCCAUGCCGCGUGGGUGAAGAAGGCCUUCGGGUUGUAAAGCCCUUUUGUCCGGGAAGAAGUCGUCUGGGCUAAUACCCCGGGCGGAUGACGGUACCGGAAGAAUAAGCACCGGCUAACUUCGUG
rnacentral:rRNA from 1 species